UACGAAGGGGCUAGCGUUGCUCGGAAUCACUGGGCGUAAAGGGUGCGUAGGCGGGUCUUAAGUCAGGGGUGAAAUCCUGGAGCCUCGAACUCCAGAACUGCCUUUGAUACUGAAGAAUCUUGAGUCCGGAAGAGGCGAGUGGAAUUCCUGGUGAGCGGUGGAAUGCGCAGAUAUCAGGAGGAACACCAAUAGCGAAGGCAGCUCGCUGGGACGGUACUGACGCUAAGGCGCGAAAGCGUGGGGAGCGAACGAGGA
rnacentral:rRNA from 1 species